GUUGCGCCACCUCGAGAAGAUGCAGAAGCUGCACCAUUAUCUGGCCCAGAAGUAAUAACUACACAGCCUUCAGCCGAUACAGAGGCACCACCCCAGGAAGCAGACCUGGGGUCAAUUACUUCAAAAUAUCCCCGAGUAUGUGAAAUUGAAUGGUUCAUGUCUGACACUGAGAACUGUCGAACUGCCAGCCAGAUUCAACAGCGCGCUGCUGAGCUACCUGGGGGAAGAACAAAAAAUGUCCGCAUGGGGGUUAUGAAGAAGGCUAAGAAGUGCCAUGUUUUUGAUGUGGAUGUAGAGGCAGCAAUAGGCACAAGACCACAGUUAUUUGCCCUUGGUUGACCACAAUACGGAAGUGGUUACGCGGAAAAUAGUUCCUCUGUUUGAUGGUGAAUAUUGGUGAAUUUUUGAGUGAAAGACCUGCAAUAAAUGGCAUGAUCUAAUAGAGAAGAUAUGAAAUAGUAGGUACAUGUACAAUUUGACAGAAUGCAAAUGUCAGAAUAUGCAUAACAUGACUUUUUGAUAGGGCCUGUUUUGCCUGUUUGCGGCCAUCUAGAGAGUAUUCUUCAUACGCAUGUGAUUUGGUUCAAAAUGGUGGAAAAAAGAGCCGGUCAACCCAAUGUUUACUGUGGCUGGAAUUAUUUCUCUUGGAUAGUUCUGUUGAGUUCAGGUAUUUUUAUAGGGGUUGGAAUGCAUGCAAAAUUGCUAUAGUGUCCAGUGCCUAUAUAGAACAUAUAGUAAAAAUAACUGUGGUCUUAGGCCUGAUAUAGUGGAAAAUGUCAGAAAGUAAAUUGUCAAUAUUUUUGUUAUUUUUCAAUCUACAUGGCUGAAAUUUUGACAGUGAAUGGCUGGUAGGCAUAGAAAUCUGGUAAAUAUUUAGAUUAAUCAUUACAUUUGCUGAAAUUGCUUCAGUUUGGAUAAAAAGUAUACAUGCACUUGAAACUUGUGAAAAAUCCUACUUUCAGUUUACAUAUUUCUGGAUUUUUUCUAAUUUUGCAGGUUUUCUUGCAUGAAAUGCAUUUUUAUAAGUUCUUUGUUUGAAUACGGUAUGCGGAAAACAAAAUGGGGUAUUACAAAUGCCGCGAUGUGAUAUUUUUUGAUUUUUUAGAAAUUUGAGCUGCGACUGAGGAAAUCUGAUCUAAAGUCAGAUAUGUAUUUUUUUCUAUUCUUGUUUACAUAAAAUUGCUCUUUUGGUUACUUGAAUUUACACAGUACACACAGUCUGAAUAGUGAAAUAUGUGUAAUCAUAAUCUGUGCAAGAAAAAUCAGUUCAAGGGCUUGAAAAUUGGACAGAUUAGGCCUGAAAUUGGCAUAUUUUAAUUGAUUUUGAAGGAAAACAGGCAGAUUUUCACACACUAGACUUGCAUAUUGGUUUCCUUAAUGCUUAAUUGAGCAUAAAUCAUCAUAGCUGAGGUCCUGAAUUGUAUAUUUACUUAUUCUGUUGGAUUUCUUACACUUUUAGUACCUAAAAACCUGAAAUGACAGCGCUCGGACAAUGUGAAGUUUGUCGCAUAAUCGGGGAUUGACCGCCUUUGUACAUAUAUGUCUACAGCUUCUCAGAUUUGACCGAAGACAGUUGUUCGGUGUUGUGAAUGGAUGUUGUUCGGCCGAAGGCCUUCCAGUCACACAGAAGAUCCUGGUUCGGUCACACGAAGGGUCACUUCCAUUGAUAUUAGUCACAGGAAAAAUUAGGAGCACCAGUUGUAUUUUCUCAAGUUGAUAUUUAUUUAGGUUUUUGCUGAAAUUAAGCCAGUUUGGAACAUUCAGCAGGCAGUGAUGUACAUUAAAAUCAUUCUUUAUAGAGAUAGGGGCUGUUUUGCCAGAAUGCUCAACUGUGAUACACAAUGUAAGAUUUUGUGCAGUGUAAAUGGUCAUGGUGUGCAUGUUUCAUUUACAGAGUGCACUGAAUGCCUGUAAACUGUAAGAUUUGAGUGAAAUAUUCAUUCCAGAAAGACUCAUAAGCUUUUUAGUAAGCUCACAUAUUGGAUUUUUCAGAGCUGUUUGGCUCAUUUUACCUAGGGUAGCCAUAAAUGAAUGAUCACUGAAAAGUAUAUGACACAUAUAUGUACAAAAGCUAUUCAUUCUCAUAUUUGCCACAUACUGGGCUGCUUAAAAAGGGCAAAUUUGACAGCUACAGGAUUUUUCUUAGUUCACAUUUGACUUUUUCGUGUGAGUAGACUCCGCGUUUUGACGUGCUUUUUGUAAUAUGAAUAGUUUUCCUUAAAAUUGGAACAGUGAUAUUGUAAUCAGACUUGAAGUGGCUCUUAAUUUGGAUAGAUGUAUAUUAAGGAAACAUGCUGUUUUUUAUUUUGGGUGAAAAUCUCAUCAAACAAAAAAGUUAUAGAAUUUUGCGUUUUUUUCAUCUGAAAAGUACGCGAACUUUUUUUUUGCUUAGAUUUGACAGAUACCAUGUGUAACAUUGGAAGCUGUCAAAUUUUAGUGCAUAGUUCAACAAAGGUGUAACUUUCAGAUUUAAUUUGCUAUACAUCUGAGAUUAUACUGGUAAAAUAUUUUUUAGUUUGGAGAGAAAAAUAGGUCUAAAUAGGCACAAGACCACAGUUAUUUGCCCUUGGUUGACCACAAUACGGAAGUGGUUAUGCGGAAAAAUAGUUCCUCUGUUUGAUGGUGAAUAUUGGUGAAUUUUUGAGUGAAAGACCUGCAAUAAAUGGCAUGAUUUAAUAGAAGAGAUAUGAAAUAGUAGGUACAUGUACAAUUUGACAGAAUGCAAAUGUCAGAAUAUGCAUAACAUGACUUUUUGAUAGGGCCUGUUUUGCCUGUUUGCGGCCAUCUAGAGAGUAUUCUUCAUACGCAUGUGAUUUGGUUCAAAAUGGUGGAAAAAAGAGCCGGUCAACCCAAUGUUUACUGUGGCUGGAAUUAUUUCUCUUGGAUAGUUCUGUUGAGUUCAGGUAUUUUUAUAGGGGUUGGAAUGCAUGCAAAAUUGCUAUAGUGUCCAGUGCCUAUAUAGAACAUAUAGUAAAAAUAACUGUGGUCUUAGGCCAGCAG